rnacentral:rRNA from 1 species
UUCUUAGUGAAUCUGGUGGUGCUUGGUUUCUGAGCGCUGCUCUGCUUCGGCUUAGCUCGUUCGUAAUGCAUUAGCAUCCGCAACCGAACUUCGGAUUGACUUGGCGUAAUAGACUAUUCGCUGAGGAUUCUAGUUUACUAGAGCCGAGUUGGGUUAAAGGAAGCUCCUAAUCCUAAAGUCUAUUUUUUGAUUAGAUCUCAAAUCAGGUAGGACUACCCGCUGAACUUAAGCAUAUCAAUAAGCGGAGGAAAAGAAACUAACAAGGAUUCCCCUAGUAGCGGCGAGCGAAGCGGGAAGAGCUCAAAUUUAUAAUCUGGCACCUUCGGUGUCCGAGUUGUAAUCUCUAGAAGUGUUUUCCGCGUUGGACCGCACACAAGUCUGUUGGAAUACAGCGGCAUAGUGGUGAAACCCCCGUAUAUGGUGCGGACGCCCAGCGCUUUGUGAUACACUUUCAAUGAGUCGAGUUGUUUGGGAAUGCAGCUCAAAUUGGGUGGUAAAUUCCAUCUAAAGCUAAAUAUUGGCGAGAGACCGAUAGCGAACAAGUACCGUGAGGGAAAGAUGAAAAGCACUUUGGAAAGAGAGUUAACAGUACGUGAAAUUGUUGGAAGGGAAACGCUUGAAGUCAGACUUGCUUGCCGGAGCUUGCUUCGGUUUGCAGGCCAGCAUCAGUUUUCCGGGGUGGAUAAUGACGGUUUGAAGGUAGCAGUCUCGGCUGUGUUAUAGCUUUCCGUUGGAUACAUCCUGGGGGACUGAGGAACGCAGCGUGCUUUUUGCGAAAGACUCGUCUUUCACGCU